UGGCACUCUUAAACCUCUUUCUUGCUUUAUUAUAAGUUAGAAAGCCAAAAAAGAGUGCCAGAGUAAUACUGUGAAUUCCAAAGUUGGACGAUUGUUCUUUCAACUAUUUCACCUCGCAUACACU